rnacentral:rRNA from 1 species
UACGGAGGGUGCAAACGUUGCUCGGAAUCAUUGGGCGUAAAGCGCACGUAGGCGGCCUGGUAAGUCGGGUGUGAAAGCCCUCGGCUCAACCGAGGAAGUGCGCCCGAAACUGCAUGGCUUGAGUACCGGAGAGGGUGGCGGAAUUCCCCAAGUAGAGGUGAAAUUCGUAGAUAUGGGGAGGAACACCGGUGGCGAAGGCGGCCACCUGGACGGAUACUGACGCUGAGACGCGAAAGCGUGGGGAGCAAACAGG